CUCAAUAAGACAAUGAAUAAAUUGGUCUGAUAUUGUUGUUGUGUGAAUCUGAAUGUGAGUCUUCCAUAAGAGCCAUAUUCUUCCAUUAAUAGCCCUUGCAUAAUUGCAUUGCCACAUCCAACCUUUUGCAAUUCUAUCAAAGAUCUUCUUAGAUUUAUGCUCCUUAACUCUAGUUUCAAGUAUACCAAUUACAUCUACUUUAUUAUCAGUAAGGAAUUGCUUCAACUCCUUCUGUUUAGGAGACUGAUUAAGUCCCCUUAUAUUCCAAGUGACUACUAUCAUGGAUCAUCAUCAGCUAGACUGUAAGAGGGACCUGGAUCAAAUUGUUGCCCUCCAUUCUUUACUUCCAUAGCUGCUUUGCCUCUAUCCCCUGCAACAUCCACCUGCUCACCACAUUUAGUGGUGACAUCUCUCAGUUGCUCUUCAUUUGUCUGUUGUUCAUGAUGCUGCACACUUUCUAACCCCUGCAGCAUACUACCUUGUUCCUUCUGCAUAGCACUUUGUACUUCAUUUGGCACAUUUGCCUCCUGCUCAAUCUCCUG
rnacentral:lncRNA from 1 species